UUGAAAUGGAAAUUGAAGUUCUGCACUGCUACAGCCCGAAUGAGUCAAAGAAGUGAAGCUUUCAAAUUACUUUUUUUUUUUUAAUGAGAAUUCAGAAGGUGCUGGAGCUUUGCUAUUGGCAGGCCUGUUUAUUUCAGAUUUCAAGCAUCAGCUCCUGACAGGAGGUGGGUUGUUUUUACGUUGCUGCGUGGAGAUGGUCUAUAGGUCGAGCAUUCCUGAGCUGAGGCCUCAAAUCCUGAGAACAGCGCCUGAAGUAAACUAGCUCCAAGACAAUGGCGAAAGGUUGAAGGUGAGAAGAGUGGGGCCUUUGCUGCUACUAAUAUAUUCCAAGGAGAUUUCUAAAGUGCUCCGCCGCCAAUUGCCCCACAUAAUGGUUUCCAUGGUGAUGAGUCCUCAGAGCCAGGGCUGUGGUACAGAAAUGAACCAGCAGAACAAUGACCCCAACUUCCACCACGUUACGGAACAUUUUUCAGCGGGCUCCUUUUCCGUUCUGUGUCAGAAGAGGCAUCCUUUCAGCCUAUGGUCUUGACAACACAGUUGGAAUUUACAUGCAUCAAUAGUUUGGAAGAAAACAACAUCCUUAUAGACUCCACAAGCCUGGAGAACCGCAACCCUUUGCAGGGGUCAUUUCGAUUUUAGCAGGAAUAAGAUAAUUGGAAAUUUUACAUUAUUGAUUCAAAGUAGCACUCUACCUCCUCUCUAGCUUCUUACAAGCUAUUUAUGGGCGUGUUUCAUCAAUAAUCCUUGAGCAAUUGUACAUUUUUCACUGUUAAUUAAUGUUAAACUCAAUGAUCCACAACAUAGUUUACCAGAAAGAGAAUAGAGCAAAGGAAAGAUUCUCACUCUUUGGAGAAAAGCUACAUAGCUGGAGGCGAGGGGGUGCUAGCAACAUGCGUACGCUCCGAGUGCCAUACUGACCACAGACAUUGCUUUGGCACCCACGGCACCCAUCAUGCCUUCUUUGGAUGAAGGCUCUGUGAACAGGACUGACAGCUGGGGGUGACGGCCCACUCAGAGAAGCCUGGUCACAGGAUACACGACAUGCUACACAAACUUGCCAGAGGUCGGUUUACUCGUCAUGGUUAGUACCACUCCUCCUCUUGUGAGAACAGUUGUGUAAUGAAAAAAUAACCCUGAUGAUGUAAUAACAAUGUUUUGAGGAUUACCUUGGCUUGUGUGCGCAGCAUCAGAUUUCUAAGAGAAAGUGCUGUGACACAAAUUGGGUCUGUGGAGUCGGAACAACACAAAUGUUUUGGGAGCUUUGUGAGGAGGGCUUUUUCCUGCCACUCGUGGAACUUUAUGACUCCUAACCUGAAGCCUCCCAUAAGCCGGAACCUUAUGAGAAGUUACAGGGCAAAGGUGCUCAGCUCUGCUUUACUUUUCCACUGUGUUUUACAAACUGGGAAAUGUGUGUUUGAAAAGGAAGCUUUGGACGCAUAUCAUUAAAAGCCGUCAUACUCUUCAUUUAAAAAGUUUGGAAAGUCCUCGUCUAUGAGCAGCAGUGAAACAGUGGUUACUGCAACGUUGUGUUUGUUGUAGUUGUGCGAUGACACAGCUUGACGCUCAUAACUCUGACUGUCAGUUGGCUAUUUGUCAGCAGCUCAAAUUUCCAAAUUAAACUUUACUUAAAUUGCUACACAAUGCUGCCCUUUUAACUGUGAUAGUGGCCUUACUGAAAGUUGGUUAUGUUGCAUUAUGAAAAAUACGGAACCACACUGAGCUGUAUUACUAUUAUUAUUUUAAUAAUCACUCAUUUGUUUAUGCAAUGUAUUAGUCAAAAUUCUUGGGUUCUAUCUUCUCAAAUAUGAAGCUUUGCUGAUUUUAAGCUGAAGAAACACGGACAAAUAAAUCAAUUAUGAAAUUA